AUUGAACGCUGGCGGCAGGCCUAACACAUGCAAGUCGAGCGAGCGGCGGACGGGUGAGUAAUGUCUGGGAAACUGCCUGAUGGAGGGGGAUAACUACUGGAAACGGUAGCUAAUACCGCAUCCCGUCAGAUGUGCCCCGAUGGGGUUAGCUCGUAGGUGGGGUAACGGCUCACCUAGGCGACGCGCCCUAGCUGGUCUGAGAGGAUGACCAGCCACACUGGAACUGAGACACGGGCCAGACUCCUACGGGAGGCAGCAGUGGGGAAGAUUGCACAAUGGGCGCAAGCCUGAUGCAGCCAUGCCGCGUGUGUGAAGAAGGCCUUCGGGUUGUAAAGCACUUUCAGCGGGGAGGCGUUACCCGCAGAAGAAGCACCGGCUAACUCCGUGCCAGCAGCCGCGGUAAUUC
rnacentral:rRNA from 1 species